GAUGAAGAACGUAGCGAAAUGCGAUACGUAAUGUGAAUUGCAGAAUUCAGUGAAUCAUCGAAUCUUUGAACGCACAUUGCACUCUCUGGUAUUCCGGAGAGUAUGCUUGUUUGAGUAUCAGUAAACACCUCAAAUCUCUUGUUUCUUGUGAAUAAGAGAAUUGGACUUGAGCAAUCCCAACUCUUGCAAAAGAGGCGGGUUGCUUGAAAUGCAGGUGCAGCUGGACAUUCUUCUGAGCUAAAAGCAUAUUUAUUUAGUCCCGUAAAACGGAUUAUUACUUUUGCUGCAGCUAACAUAAAGGUUGAAUGGCCAAUAUGGCUGACUGAUGCAGGAUUAACAGAGAAUUUAUUCUUUGUAAACUCGAUCUCAAAUCAAGUAAGACUACCCGCUGAACUUAAGCAUAUCAAUAAGCGGAGA
rnacentral:misc_RNA from 1 species